rnacentral:rRNA from 1 species
ACAGGCUUAACACAUGCAAGUCGAGGGGCAGCAUGGUCUUAGCUUGCUAAGGCCGAUGGCGACCGGCGCACGGGUGAGUAACACGUAUCCAACCUGCCGUCUACUCUUGGACAGCCUUCUGAAAGGAAGAUUAAUACAAGAUGGCAUCAUGAGUCCGCAUGUUCACAUGAUUAAAGGUGUUCCGGUAGACGAUGGGGAUGCGUUCCAUUAGAUAGUAGGCGGGGUAACGGCCCACCUAGUCUUCCAUGGAUAGGGGUUCUGAGAGGAAGGUCCCCCACAUUGGAACUGAGACACAGUCCAAACUCCUACGGGAGGCAGCAGUGAGGAAUAUUGGUCAAUGGGCGAGAGCCUGAACCAGCCAAGUAGCGUGAAGGAUGACUGCCCUAUGGGUUGUAAACUUCUUUUAUAAAGGAAUAAAGUCGGGUAUGCAUACCCGUUUGCAUGUACUUUAUGAAUAAGGAUCGGCUAACUCCGUGCCAGCAGCCGCGGUAAUACGGAGGAUCCGAGCGUUAUCCGGAUUUAUUGGGUUUAAAGGGAGCGUAGAUGGAUGUUUAAGUCAGUUGUGAGAGUUUGCGGCUCAACCGUAAAAUUGCAGUUGAUACUGGAUAUCUUGAGUGCAGUUGAGGCAGGCGGAAUUCGUGGUGUAGCGGUGAAAUGCUUAGAUAUCACGAAGAACUCCGAUUGCGAAGGCAGCCUGCUAAGCUGCAACUGACAUUGAGGCUCGAAAGUGUGGGUAUCAAACAGGAUUAGAUACCCUGGUAGUCCACACGGUAAACGAUGAAUACUCGCUGUUUGCGAUAUACAGCAAGCGGCCAAGCGAAAGCGUUAAGUAUUCCACCUGGGGAGUACGCCGGCAACGGUGAAACUCAAA